AUCUCAUUAUAUUGUUGCAACAGUAACUGCAAUUUAUCAUUCUCCUCAGAGAUAAGUGUGGCCCCUUCUCCUGCAGCUGCAGGUUGAAUGUCAAAUGAUGAAGCACCUGCUGUUGUUGAAGAAUUCAGUACAUACAGUAGUGGGGACUAGAAAUUCAUCCUUUUCUUCUGAAAGAAACUCUCAACAGAACAUAAAACAGGUGUUGACCCUACCUUCCCUACUCCCAGCAAUACCACUUUUUCCCCUUCCUUUCUAAAAGAAAUUUAGAAGCCUUGAAAUCAAAUAA
rnacentral:misc_RNA from 1 species